ACGUGUUUUGUAAUCUACCGUCAUUCAUCAAAUGUUUCAAAAUUCAACAUUCUUUAUUGAAAUCUUUUUAAACCGGUUGAAAGAAAGUCACUUGAAUACGAUAAUACAGUGAAUUCUUUUGUUUCAUGUCAUAACUUGCCACGUGGUACGGCAAUUGGUGGAUUGCAAGCGGGGAUGAAAAUGGCGCGGGCUGAGCCGUAGCCGUGUAAAGUGACGACAUCAUGGCAGCGCGUUGUAUACCAGCCGGACUUGCUGCGCUGGUGCUGUUGAAGACCUAAACCAUGUCACAAGACCAGUGGUUGAUCUUUUAUUGGAAAUUCUUAUACGUCCCGGUGAGUCGUAUCUGUUUCACCUGAUUUGAAAUAUGGAAAGUUUUAAUAGGAUACAAACGAAUAUAGUGCAGAAAGUUCUCUUUUGUUAACUUUAAUUAAAUUGGAAAUCGUAAUGAAGUGAAGUAAACAUUGCGAAGUAAAAUGAUUUGGAUUACGAUUAAAUGAAAUAGGCUUAGAAAAUGCCCGAAACAGAGUAAAUCAUUAGUGAGAAAAUUGGAGCAAAACAUUCUAAAUAAUGAUAAUACCGAAUUGGUAAUUGUUUAAAUGCGGUAAUAUUUCCUCGAGGUGUUGGUCGCUACACUGUGACUUUAUGACUUGUGUGUGUGAGAGCAGGGUGCUCUGUCGUUUUGUGGUCGUGGACCAUGGUGGCCAUCCCGGGAGGGGAUGAUGUGACUCAUGACUGUUUUGUAGCGUAACGGCAGUUUGGGGAGGAAUAUUACAGCCUGUUGUGCUUUGCAGUAGAUGUUGAUUUAAUUGAGCAAUGAAAGCUAUGAUUGACCUGUUUCGGAGCAACUCUGAUAGGAAGCUGCGCACUUGUAGUGUUCGGGGCUGCAGCCACUUUUGUGCUGCUCGUCUUAGAAACUACAGGUAUGCGGUCGAAGCCCGGAUUUCAUGUUGACUUUGUAUUUGGUCAUGACAUUGUACCUGAAUCUAAGUCAUGUUGAACUCCGGUAGAAUUAGUCAAACGAAUUAGAAAUUAGUGAUGUAGAAGAAAUUGUGUAACCCAUUGACCUGUUUCGGAGCAACUCUGAUAGGGAGCUGCGCACUUGUAGUGUUCGGGGCUGCAGCCACUUUUGUGCUGCUCGUCUUAGAAACUACAGGUAUGCGGUCGAGGCCUGGAUGUCAUGUUGACUUUGUAUUUGGUCAUGACAUUGUACCUGAAUCUAAGUCAAGUUGACUUCCGGUAGAAUUAGUCAAACUACACGAAUUAGAAAUUAGUGAUGUAGAAGAAAUUUGUAACCCAUGGACCACUAUUCUACCAACUAAAAUGUAAAGUUUGUGUGCUAGCUGUGUUGAGAUAUCGUCACUUGGUGUAAGUGGCAUGAGUUGCUGUCGCUCGAUUUAGGUGGCAGUGACGACUGUGUUGAGAUAUCGUCACUUGGUGUAAGUGGCAUGAGUUGCUGUCGCUCGGUUUAGGUGGCAGCAACGACUGUGUUGAGAUAUCGUCACUUGGUGUAAGUGGCAUGAGUUGCUACCGCUCGAUUUAGGUGGUAGUGACGCCUGGUUGUGAGAUAUCGUCACUCAGUAGAGUGGCAUGAGUUGCUACCGCUCGAUUUAGGUGGUAGUGACGCCUGGUUUUGAGAUAUCGUCGCUCAGUAGAGUGGCAUGAGUUACUAUCGCUCGUUUAGGUGAUAGUAACGACCGAUGUGUAAAGAGUAAUUGGAUUUUCAAGUUUGGUUGUUUAUAGUGUGUGAAUACUGGUCAAUGGUCCGUGUAUUGUUAGUUGAUGAUUUAUCAUGAUGUAAUGUGAGCUCAUGUAGAGUCACAAGUAGAGCUCGUGUAGAGUCACAAGUAGAGCUCGUGUAGAGUCACAAGUAGAGCUCGUGUAGAGUCACAAGUAGAGCUCGUGUAGAGUCACAAGUAGAGCUCGUGUAGAGUCACAAGUAGAGUUCGUGUAGAGUCACAAGUAGAGCUCGUGUAGAGUCACAAGUAGAGCUCGUGUAGAGUCACAAGUAGAGUUCGUGUAGAGUCACAAGUAGAGCUCGUGUAGAGUCACAAGUAGAGCUCGUGUAGAGUCACAAGUAGAGCUCGUGUAGAGUCACAAGUAGAGCUCGUGUAGAGUCACAAGUAGAGCUCGUGUAGAGUCACAAGUAGAGCUCGUGUAGAGUCACAAGUAGAGCUCAUGUAGAGUCCUUUAUAGAGUCUCAUGUUAGGUCAGGAAUGACCGAGCGAACUUGGAUACUGUGCUGUGGUAUAUUGUUUCAGAUUAACACACGAGGACGUGUGUCACGCAGGAUGGCCGUGUCGGAGUUAGUUAUGAAUUAAGAAGAGAAAUUGAUCAAAUCGGAAAAUACAAUGAAGUUGCAACACUUCCAUCAUGAAGUUGCAACGCUCUGACGUCAGGUGGCGUACGAGCAGAGCGGGGUGAAGUCGAGGGAGUCACUACAGAGUCGUCGUGUCGAGCGGACGUGCACUGCCGUUCUAGUCGGGCAGUCUACCGCGAACCAUCGUCAUGAGCGGACGUGUCGAAUAAUUACGAGGAGUGCUAUAGUCGCUCACCUAUAACUUGUAGGGACGUCAAGAAAGUGUGAUCGGAAAAGAGUACCUAGCAAGUACGUUCACAUGUCCCGAUGAUUCGGUCCGAAUAUAGGAACCAUGGGUGGUGGAGGGCAAGUAGAGGGCGAGUAGCCCCUUCGCGCUAACGUCCUUAUGCGCGCUAGAUAACGAGAGACUGUGUAACCGUUACGAAUACCGUGACGUUGCCGUGAGUGUGUACCUUAUGCUGUGACUUUAUUUAAUCGUGAUACAAAAACUAUGUGGAAGUAAAUAAAAUGAUUGUGAUACUGA